CCGCCGGCUACGGCAGCUGAGGAGGCUCAGGCGGCGCAGAGCGCGCGAACGCGGCGGCUCCGGGGCCUCCGGCGGGGCCCUGCUGAGAAGUCUGAGCAGGGUCUGGCAAUUGGAGCAUGGCAACAGCGUCAAGGGAUUCACACCCAACUUCAAGGUCACACUCGUCUCAAGUAACUGAAGGGGUGACUCCAUCACGCCGUUCCUCGCUUUUCUCCUUGACUGAAUGUGGCAAAUAGAUGGUCCAUGCACCACGCUCUCAAGACCAGCACAUUUGGACUCCUCAUCAAGAGAAAUAACGAGCUCCAGAGCCAAGGGACCUCUGCUGUGAACGCCCUACCCACAGAUGUUUAGCAAUCAUAAAUAAGGGCUAAUCUCAGCUCUGGUGACAGCACAUGUGGAGAUAGAGUUCUCUUUGCUAUUUUAUUGAAAAUGUAUCCAUCCAAAGUCCUACAGGCAUGCUGAAAAUUCUAAUUAAAAUUUGUAUGCAUACUCCUUGGAACAAUGUCUAGGACUAAAACCCCUCCCAACAUCUUUCUCUACCCAGAAAUCAGAGAUCACCCAAGCAGGCUUUUCUCUCCCAGUAGCCUUGAGGUUGGGUUAGCCAGGCUACCCUCAUAGCAUACCCCACAGAGAGGGAGCCUGGAGGUCAAAAUCUCUUUCUGUGGGGGAGGUUGUUCCCAUUGUGCUGCAAUAUGAGGCACAUUCCCCCAGAACAGCUCUCCCAACUGCCACCAGACCAUUUGCCUAUGUUUCUGUCUCAGUAGCUGCAGCUGCCACUUUUUACCUCAUUUCUUGCCCUGUUCAGAAGAGCACCAACCGUACGCAUUCUGUUUCCACUGGCUAUGGAUUUGUGCUUACCUGGCAAAGUUAUUCCACUUGAAAGCAAGAGGAAUCAGUUGGAAAUUAAAAAACAACAACAAACCCAAAACAAGCAACAACAACAAAGUCAAGACCAGUGUAGAUACCUGCAGCUAUUCAGCAUAAAAAGCUUGAGUUUGCCAAGAAUUUUGAGAGUCCAUCCUUAGUAUCUCUUUUUUGUAAAAUGGGAUUUCAGCCUAGAGAACUAUUUGCUGUAUUUGAAAAUUUCACUUCCAUAAUAAUGUACUAAUGCAAAUUUCUUAAAAAACAUUACAUUUCUUCUUCAGAAAGCUUUGCUCUAACCAUUUCAAAGUCUCCCAAGUCAUACAAAGCCUGUGAGUUUCUCCUGGGAGACACUUGCUCAGAGGAACAGUGUUAAGAAAAACACUGAAUUCACCACGUGCCUUCUGCUCUUUGAAACACCCAAAUAGCUUGGAUGUGUACAUGUAAGCUUCUGUGGAAAGCAUUGAGUAAAUAUAUCUACUUGAUUUCUAUAGUUUUAAUAUGCUUUAGAUCAUUAGUCAAGCUUACAGGAGACCAGCAGUAGUUUUUGAGCCUUUUCUAGCAGCCUCUGCCACACUGAAAUGAAGAUGUUUAAUAUCUGUAAUGACAUUACUCCAUCUUCUUAUGCUGUAUAAGUCUUACUGAUAUUUAUCCCAUGGUAGUUAUUAAAAAGUAGGCAUUUCUUUCAGCAGCAGCUUAAGCAGCUCCCUUUUGGCCUGUCUAUGCCCCAUCCUCUCCCGCUUACCGGGUGUGCUGGUGCAACUUGUGGGAUAGCAGCAGCAAACUCAACUACCUUAAAGUUUCCCAAGUGUGGGGGGAAUUAGUUAUGAUCCACUCAGUCUUAAGCCACUUAUUUGUUUUGGCCAGGAUACAUCUGUAGUUGAUCACUCAAUUCUAUCCAUAGCCCACUCCCCAUUCUGCAGCUAAAUAAAUGUCUCAUUUAAAGUGCUGCCUCCCUGGUAGAGAGAAAAAACAAAAAAAACUUGUAAAAAAAGUGAUAUGUACCUAUUUUAAGUGAACGGUAAGCAUAUUAUCAACUUCCAUAACA